rnacentral:rRNA from 1 species
AACUAAACUUGAGCUACCCAAUUUCAACACGGUUGCAUCAGUUGGCUGUCAAACAGUGCCUCGGCGCUGGGAGGCGGUCGACACACAACACAAACACUUUUGAUGAUCUAGGAUUUUGAAUGAAGUUCAUUUUUAGGAUGGAACCGACUGGUAAUGCGGUCGUCUAAAUCUAAAAAACAACUUUUGGCAACGGAUCUCUUGGUUCUCCCAUCGAUGAAGAACGCAGCGAAUUGCGAUAAGUAAUGUGAAUUGCAGAAGUGAAUCAUCGAAUCUUUGAACGCACCUUGCGCUCCCGGCAGAUCUAAUCUGGGGAGCAUGCCUGUUUGAGGGCCGCGAAUUGUUUCGAACGACAGCUUUUUUUCUUUGUGAAAAAGUUGGCGGAUCGGUAUUGAGGGUUUGCCAUUUACCAUGGCUCCCUCGAAAUGCAUUAGCGCAUCCAUUUGAUAGGCAAGACGGACGAAAGCUCGAUUUUCGCCCUCUCUUCCCUGCCGGGUUUUGAUAAUAUCAGGACUUCGGAGGCGGAGAAAGGGUUAGAGCUGGACGCAACGUUUUGCUGUUUGGAGUGCUUCUGAAACCCGCCCAUGCCU